CCCCUCUCAGGAUCACACCUGGAGAGUUUCCAGUACUUUACCAGUUUUGGCUAGGGAAGGGAGAGUAAAGCAGAGGCCUACCCAUUCCAUUUCUAGCUUGGCCAGCGGCUAGCGAGUGGAAGGUGAUCUGCUACAAGU